CAACUGAAGGGAUGUAUACUGGGCAAAAUAUUUAUUGUGGGAAACAA
rnacentral:tRNA from 1 species